UCUGAUGGCGAGUGGCGAACGGGUGAGUAAUAUAUCGGAACGUGCCCUAGAGUGGGGGAUAACUAGUCGAAAGACUAGCUAAUACCGCAUACGAUCUAAGGAUGAAAGUGGGGGAUCGCAAGACCUCAUGCUCGUGGAGCGGCCGAUAUCUGAUUAGCUAGUUGGUGGGGUAAAAGCCUACCAAGGCAACGAUCAGUAGCUGGUCUGAGAGGACGACCAGCCACACUGGGACUGAGACACGGCCCAGACUCCUACGGGAGGCAGCAGUGGGGAAUUUUGGACAAUGGGGGCAACCCUGAUCCAGCAAUGCCGCGUGAGUGAAGAAGGCCUUCGGGUUGUAAAGCUCUUUUGUCAGGGAAGAAACGGUUCUGGAUAAUACCUAGGACUAAUGACGGUACCUGAAGAAUAAGCACCGGCUAACUACGUGCCAGCAGCCGCGGUAAUACGUAGGGUGCAAGCGUUAAUCGGAAUUACUGGGCGUAAAGCGUGCGCAGGCGGUUGUGUAAGUCAGAUGUGAAAUCCCCGGGCUCAACCUGGGAAUUGCAUUUGAGACUGCACGGCUAGAGUGUGUCAGAGGGGGGUAGAAUUCCACGUGUAGC
rnacentral:rRNA from 1 species